rnacentral:rRNA from 1 species
CCAGACUCCUACGGGAGGCAGCAGUGGGGAAUAUUGCACAAUGGGCGCAAGCCUGAUGCAGCGACGCCGCGUGCGGGAUGACGGCCUUCGGGUUGUAAACCGCUUUUGAUCGGGAGCAAGCCUUCGGGUGAGUGUACCUUUCGAAUAAGCACCGGCUAACUACGUGCCAGCAGCCGCGGUAAUACGUAGGGUGCAAGCGUUAUCCGGAAUUAUUGGGCGUAAAGGGCUCGUAGGCGGUUCGUCGCGUCCGGUGUGAAAGUCCAUCGCUUAACGGUGGAUCUGCGCCGGGUACGGGCGGGCUGGAGUGCGGUAGGGGAGACUGGAAUUCCCGGUGUAACGGUGGAAUGUGUAGAUAUCGGGAAGAACACCAAUGGCGAAGGCAGGUCUCUGGGCCGUUACUGACGCUGAGGAGCGAAAGCGUGGGGAGCGAACAGGAUUAGAUACCCUGGUAGUCCACGCCGUAAACGGUGGAUGCUGGAUGUGGGGCCCGUUCCACGGGUUCCGUGUCGGAGCUAACGCGUUAAGCAUCCCGCCUGGGGAGUACGGCCGCAAGGCUAAAACUCAAAGAAAUUGACGGGGGCCCGCACAAGCGGCGGAGCAUGCGGAUUAAUUCGAUGCAACGCGAAGAACCUUACCUGGGCUUGACAUGUUCCCGACAGCCGUAGAGAUGCGGCCUCCCUUCGGGGCGGGUUCACAGGUGGUGCAUGGUCGUCGUCAGCUCGUGUCGUGAGAUGUUGGGUUAAGUCCCGCAACGAGCGCAACCCUCGCCCUGUGUUGCCAGCACGUCAUGGUGGGAACUCACGGGGGACCGCCGGGGUCAACUCGGAGGAAGGUGGGGAUGACGUCAGAUCAUCAUGCCCCUUACGUCCAGGGCUUCACGCAUGCUACAAUGGCCGGUACAACGGGAUGCGACAUGGCGACAUGGAGCGGAUCCCUGAAAACCGGUCUCAGUUCGGAUUGGAGUCUGCAACCCGACUCCAUGAAGGCGGAGUCGCUAGUAAUCGCGGAUCAGCAACGCCGCGGUGAAUGCGUUCCCGGGCCUUGUACACACCGCCCGUCAAGUCAUGAAAGUGGGUAGCACCCGAAGCCGGUGGCCUAACCCCUUGUGGGAUGGAGCCGUCUAAGGUGAGACUCGUGAUUGGGACUAAGUCGUAACAAGGUAGCCGUACCGGAAGGUGCGGCUG